ensembl:lncRNA
CACUUAGAGGUGCCCCAGUAAAGCACAGCCCGGAAUGCCUGGCUAAUAAAGUGUCAGCAGCAGGGGGAUUACGAGGGAGAUUUACAAGAGUGCAUGAGUUUAGUUGCUGCUGGAGACAUCCGAUACACUCUGUGUUUGAUUCCAGGCUUUGAGACAGCAAUGAAAUAAGCCUGCAGACUUGUGUCAAAAAGCAUUUCAGGGGGAACACUUCUGCCUCGCGUACCUGCAGGAGUCCCAGCAGAUGCCUUGAUAUGGCAUUCAGCUUUCUCCUUUUCCCAGUCCCCCUCCUAAACGUGUAUGCAAUGGAGUAUAAACUACCGAGUUUGGGCCAGAAGUUGCCAGAGCUGUGGGGAGGAGGAAAAGCAAGUGCUUGAAGCAGACAUUCUCUGAGUGGGACAUUUCUCAAGAUGGGAUGGCCAAUAGCCUUUGUGCCAGUGGCAGCUCAGUGCUUUCUCCUCCGACAGCACCGAGCAGCAGGAAGAUCUGCUCCAUGGCUCCUGUCUACCUUGAGGCACUGAGGGAGCAUCUGUAAACUAGUCCAGAUUUGUUUGUAAAGUUUCAUUCACAGCUCCCCUUUGGCCAAGGAAAGACCGAAGGCAAAUCCACUUUGGUGCCAGAACAAAGGGAUUUGGAGGAGCCUGGAUUCCCAGCAGCACAAAACUUCAGCACCACCAGGAGAUGACACAGCAGCUCAUAGAUGACUUUCACUAUCUGAUCAGACAACUUCUUAAUCAGCAGAGACAGUGCUCACUGUCAGAAAAAUGUCACAUGAGUCAGCUUUCAUCUGCAGGGAACAGGUUCUGCUCCUGCACAACUAAUGGGAGUCCAGUUGUUCUCCAUAUUCAUUGUCUCAUGCUGCACUGUCUGCCGUUCCCAGGCUCUCCUGGCCCUCGUGGCCACAGAGGUUCGGCACACAAACAAGGUUACAGCAGUGAAAAUCAAAGCCAGCAAGAGCAAAACUGCCCUUACAACUACACUGGGUUGUGGUUAUAAGCCCCUGAACUGGCUCUUUAAAUAAUUCAGGAAUAGAUUUGAAAAAUACAACCCCUCAUUUAAAAGGAAGGAGUUUCUCAAGUAACAGAUUCAAUGUUGGAAGAGUAAUAGAUGCCUAUAAUUUCCAUAAUAAACAUCCUCUCUUUAAAAGUAGGAGUAGAAACUGUCACCGUAGUUAAACAUAAAAUUAAGACAUGAUUUCUCAACUCCUCACGAGCUUUGUGUUUUGCUGAAGUAGUUUAUGAACCACGUUUGCCUUUAAUAAAGUCCAUGUAUUUGCAUAUCAUGACCACAAGAGAGAGCUUUAGUGUUGGAUGUUGUACGCUCCCGUGGCAGAAGACUCAGCAGCUCAGUAGCACAGUAAUUUUAACUGGCACUUUUCAAGCAUGACGAGGAUGCCAACGCAAAUCACCUAAUCCAGAUCACCAAAUGUGUACUCACUUUCCACCAUACAGGCAACCUCCAUGUGUCCUGAAAACAACUGCCUGAGCAACAUGUUGUCAAAACAUGUCAUCUAGCAUCUACCAUCUUUUUCCCCGCAGAUGAGAUUGAGUCCCCCUGAAAACCUGAUCCAAAAAGUUUCUGAGCAGCCUCAAAAAGAGGAGAAAUGAUAGAAUGCUUCCAAAAGGAAGGUGUGAUAUCUGUUCUUACUGACUUGUCGGGGUGAUAUCAUCUUCUAUGUAACCUGAUAUAUUAAAUGCACAUACCCAUACAUAUGCAUACAUACAUACACACAUAUAUACAUGUAUAUAUAUAAAUAUAUACAUAUAUAUAUACACAUACAUAUAUGUAAACCCAGUCUUUUCCAUACACCACCCUUCUCUGCUCAAACAGCCUCCCAGUUCUGCCCUGCUAAGCAGCUAGUCUCAUUCCAUUCAAAUCCUUACCUGAGAUUAAUUUCUCCCAUGAUAUCCAUAAGGGCUUUAAUAAUAAUGAUUAUACUGCCGUCCAACCACCUCAGGCUCUCCACCCAUCUCCUCCCUAUUGUGUAUUACCUUCCACUCAUUUUCUCCCAGAUAAAACAAACUCUUGAGGGCAGAGACCUGCUGGCUCUUCUAGUCUUCUGGGUGUUGUAAAAGCAAUAAGGCAAUAUCACACAUAAAGCACAGUAUUCAAAUGAUACUGAGUCAAAUGUAAACGAAGAAAAGCAGGUCAUUCAGAGUUACCUCACCGUGAAGUGUCUAGAUGCAUCACAUUCCUGCAGCUUCCCGGAUAUGGAUUUGGAUCCAUCUUCUAGAAACGCGAUGUGGACAGGGACUGAUUGAAGGAGAUGACACAGACAACAACGAGGGCAAAGCCCCUGCUGUACAGACACUCAGACCACUCAUUUGCUGGGCUCCUGUGCCGUUGCCAAGCCUCACGCUUCCCCCAUGCAGCCUUGGGAGGCGUCUGUGCAGCCUGCUGCCCUGGAUGAUGCUGUUAACCACAGCUUGGGAACUGUCCCAGAGACUCUGCCGGUGCCUAGAUCUGCCCUUUGAUGUUCUGCAGCUUUCCAAGUCAAAGGGCAGUUUGGUCCAGAAAGCGGUGAAGAAAGAUGAAUACAGCCAAUGAACAUUUCCUCAAGCAGCAAAACGCACGAAGCCUGCUUGGUAAUUGGGUCUCAUAGCUGCUGCCUCUCAUAUCUGAGGUAGAAGCUGAUGGGAUAUUUGCAAUGUCGCACUCUCCUCUAGCUUCUCUAGUGUUUGUUAAGAGCUAAGCUCUGGUUACAGCCUUAGUGGGAUUUAACAAGAUCUCUCUCCCUUCUAUCCAGCCGUCUAUUUUUGUGAAAAUCACAGCAACCUGAUUAUUUCUGAGACCUCUGCCCCCUUGUCAAUUUUGAUUGGAGUUGGCCCAGGAGUUCAAAAGGCUGUAACAGUUUGAUCAUAUAAUCCUGGCUUCCUUAGGAAACCAAGCUAAGGAACAAACAAACAGAAGUCUUUACAGAAAUACUCCCUUGACAGCUGAGGAUUUUAUUUUUUAAUCAACACCCUGACUUCUAUGAUUAUUUUUACCUUCGCUUCCCACAAAGACCGUCUUACAGGACAGCCACCAAAUGGAGAAGUGGCAUCACAGCAACAUGACUGCAGGCAGGCUCACAUUAAGGUCCAACUAGUCUGCAACCAGUGGGAGCCAUGGGAAACCAGCAUGAGACCCAAGUAUCAUGCCAACAGCCCUUCUACACUUAAUGCAAAAGAUGAUGGCUUGCAGAGUGAUUAGUGGACAUGUUUAACUGGAGUAAAGAUCAGAGCUGAGCUGGUUGGUGGAUGGGUGUGCAGGGGGAGAGGAAUUCCCCAGAUGGAGCGUUCCCCCCAGCACCUCCACCCAGCUGAAACCCUGAGCCAGGAGCUGGGUGGGUGGGGACACCAGCUCCAACCUUGGAAGCCUGGCACCAGAGAUAAAGAACAGCGUCUCUCGAUGGUCCCAGCCGAAUUCCAGCCUAGUUUGGCAGGGUUGCUUAACCAAAAUAGCACAGGGAACCAUCUGAAUCACUAUGGGCUGCUAAUUCAAGCGCUGGGAGAUGAGCACAGCUCUGCCAAUCACAAGCUUUGCCACAUCCAACCUGACCGUGGAGCAGGAACACAGUGCUCAGACUCAUCCAGCAUCCACCUACCUCCACACUUCUCUCUACUGCUGUUCUUUCUUUGAGCACUGACAGCAGAUCUGUUGAAGGCACAGAUUUACAACCUAAUCUUAAGAAAAGGUAGCAGCUGCCAAUGUGGAAACUCUGGACUCUGAGCAUGCCUGGAUGGACCAAAGUAGUAUUUGUUUGUGUGUUAGUUGCAAAUUGGUUUUGCAUAUACCACUUUCAAAGCAGUUUCCUUCUUUCCUUUUUCUUCACCAUCACCUUCUUUUUUCUUCCUUUUUUAUUAUAUUUUUUAACACAGCUUCUCCCUCUGUAAGAGGUGUACAUUUAAUUAUAAAAAAAGCCUUUUUCGGUUGUAAUCUGUUUCCAGUUCAAUUCCUUUGCUGGAUAAAUCCCUUAAACGUGUUGUCAUUCCUUAUUUAUUGAUUGCAGGUAUUUGGGGUUUAAUUGAGCAAGUCGGUCGUGGCCCAGGGCAGGAGUGGCGCUACAUGAGCAAUUAAAUCUGAUUAGCCCGAGCCCUUUAAGCCCCAGCUGGGUGAUUGAUAACCGAGACCAACAUUCUUCAAUUGACUCGCUACAUCAAAAAGGAGAAAGGCUUAGAGGAGAAACGCAUGGGUCCAACAUGAAAAAUAGCAAAGGAGCCGGGCAAAUUAGACUUGCAAAGGAGCUGAGCUAACAGCGAGGGGAGAAGAGAGAACGAAGCUAAAACGACGCGGACUGGGGCCAGAAUGGGGAAAGGCGGCGGUGCUCUGGUUUUAACACCCUUCAGCCCUCGGAGCUGGGCUCCAUCCAUAAAGCUGUCGUCUGUUUGUUACUGUGUUUGUCUGCUCCGACAUUACACUUUUUGCCCGGUAGUUUAAGAAAAUAAACUAGCAGGAAGAACAGGAGUGAGUAACCCCCAUUUAUCAAGCUGAUGGAUGUCCCGUGUCUCCCUUCGGGGGGGCGGUGGCC